rnacentral:lncRNA from 12 species
CCCUCAACAUGGGCUGAGUGCUCACGAAAGCCAAGCUUGUCCCAUUUCCACUCUUGGACACUUGAUGUUACCCCAAACACCGGCAGCCGCAGACCCAAGGGAAAAUUAGAAUUUAAGAAAAAAAAAUGGAUUCUUAAGUUGACAGCACUUUGAGCUGAACUUGGGGUAUUUUGAGUUCAGUUGCAUGGCCAAGGGCAGAACUACCUCUAGUGGGAGGACAAUCAUCUUGUGCUUUUCCAGACUCAUUUUUUUGAAAAGUUGAGUGAAAAAUGGUAUAGAUGUACAGAGGGCUGGUGGCUGCGCAGCAGCCUGGCCUCUGAGCAAGAGGGGAGCGGACAGCCUUGCUGCUCUGAAGUGAGUGAUCCUUGCACGUCUGAGCACUGCGAUUGUCAGCCGAGGGGUGCCAUGGCGUGGCCAAACCUUCACCGCGCUGGGUGUGUGAUGGUCACAGAGGUUGGGGGGCUUUAGAGGACGGGGUGCAAAUGCCGGUGUUGCUUUUGCUGUGAAACUGAUUCUCCUCUGUGUUUGGAGAGGGCUGCAGCCUCUGCCCUCAGGCUACCACCUGCACUUACCCACCCUCCUCUCUUAAGGUGUCUGGUGUUCCCAGGCCCCUGGGAGGACGGAGAACAAGAGUGUCCUUCCAGUCAGAGCUGAGAGUCAA